AAAUAAAGAUGGAGAAUCACCUCAGGAUUUGGAGAGGAUCUCCGCGAAUUUUCCACAGAAUUAUGGUGGUGAUUUAUGUGGGUCUGAAGUUAACAAACAGAAAAAUACAGCCAAUGGAGAAGUAGAAGCAGAAUAAGACCUAGAAGUGACAUCGGAGGAUGAGCAAGAAAGGC